GCAGAUGUGCUUCUGCUCCAUGAAUGCAAUACAGAAUAUGACUGGAAACAGGGGGAGCCUCCUCACGCUAGAGAGAGAAGAGAAGGCCCUGAUUUCACUGCAGAUCGUUCAUGUGGCUUAAAUAAUUUUGCUGAGUGCCCAGGGUCCUGGUUCGAUUCUAUGAUGGGAGACGAGAAAGAAGCAAGCUUCAGGGAAGUCCUUCCUUCUCCGAUGCAUUGAAGCCUCAGGACAGGCCCCAGAGACGCUCUCCCAGGGACUGGAGACAAGCCUGAUGAGUGACCUGCGCUCUGGGACUGCACUGCCAGCUGACACCAAACUCUUCUGGGAAUGCCUAUUUAGUUAGAGAAAGAAGACAGGAAAAGAAGGACCAGAAGCCUGAUUCAGUACGACCGCUGCCGUGACAUGCUGCCACAUCACUUUCCCUGGGCACGACGGAUGUCCUAGCAGCAUGAGCAGCAAUUUGUAUCAGCUCUGGCAAGCAUCACAGAUGUUCUUCAAGGGAAUUGAGAGCUUUCUGGGGAAGGAUCAAUGUACUGUAGCAAUUGCUCAUAAGUGUGAUGCACUGUGUUAGGCUUCCUCCCCUAGCCACGAUCUGACUGCUGCUUUUGAUUAUUUCUUGCUGUAAAGAGGCGGGUUUUUUGCAGAAAUAAAGCAUCGGCUUCAGUUCAGCACUAAUUGCCCAUUACAGUCAAUUGUGACCUCUUAUAGUUGCCUGCCAGGAACAUCAUCCCUCAAACACCACCUCCUGCUGUUCAGGAAACAUAAAUGAGAGUUUUCAGAGCAGGCCUCAGCAGCAGAGGAUUUAAGUGCAACAUGUUAAUUAAAUAUCAGUGGAUAGCCCUGCUAAGGCUCUUUAAAAUACAAGUUCCAAAUCAUAAACUCUGCUGCUAAAAAUACAACUCAAGUUUCUAAAGUAAUAGACCCGCAAUUAGGUCUCAUUUCAAUAAGCGCUUGAAGAGAAUAUUCAAGUUCCUGAAUUGUUUUUAAUGAGCAAUGCAGCACAAUGGCAUGUAAUGGCCCUUUCUCAUAUUAAAUUAUUGUUCCAUAGGUUAUCAAUUACUGUUGAACUGAGGUGGUUUUAUCAAGUGUCUGGUCUGAACUGAAAUGCACAAAAUUCCUAGCACGUAAGCCCAUUAACCAAUUCAAGAAAUGGCUUGUCACUAGCUGGAGGUUGCUUGCCUACCUGUAUGGAUGUGGGUAUGCCUUCCAGCUGUCUGACAGUGCUUGCUGUGAACCCAGUUGAAAAAUGAAGGGUUUGCUGCAGAAAAUCUCAGCAGGACUGAGCAGCACUUUCCCCGACAUUUCAGAUGUUUUUAUAACACAAAAGGGUGUUUUCAGUUUUACCCUUUGGAAAAGUUUCUCGUCUUCAUUUUUCAGCAGCCAGAAUGACUUUUUUUUUCUUUUGGUAAAAAGUUUCAGUUAGGAGGCAGGCACUUUUUAACCAAGAAAAAAAAAUAGCCGGUGGCUUUUACCCAAGGCCUCUGUUGAACCUGAUGCUGUGUGCAAUGCAGUCCACUGGUAAUGGAGCAGAGCAGUAGCAUAGCACAAUUCAUCAGCAAAGUGCUUCAUGAAUGUUUAGAGUCUAACUGAAGAUCAAAGACAGGAAAAGAUGCCAUUUGACUUCACUGGGGUUUGAAUCAGGCCUUGGACACUGUAUUCUUAGCAGGUCCCUUUGGGGUAGGUAAACGUUACUUUCCUCAUCUAUGAAAUGGGAUGCAUAGUGAAUGUGGGGUCUUCGCAUAACUUGGUUGCAAUUUGCAUCUCUGUGGUAUAAUGGAUGUGGGGGUCUUCACAUAGCUUGGUUGCAUCUCUGUGGUUAACCAUGACCCAGAACCAUUGCUCACCCAUCAGUCAUCUCCCUCGGGCUAGCAGGGUUAGCUAGAGUAGGAUGGACUCAUGCAUACCUCAUGAACAGAGAUACUCUGCCACACUGCUGGGGUAGGGGCAUGCUACCAAGCGGGCAGCAGGCCUGUAC